rnacentral:tRNA from 1 species
GCCGACAUAGCUCAGCUGGAAGAGCAUCUGAUUUGUAAUCAGAGGGUCGCGGGUUCAAGUCCUGCUGUCGGCACCA